ACUCAAAUGAAUAGACGGGGACCCGCACAAGCGGUGGAGCAUGUGGAUUAAUUCGAUACUAACCGAAGAACCUUACCCAGGUUUGACAUCGAGAGAAAAGCGAUGAAAGUCGCUCCUCCCCACAAGGGACUCAAAGACACUUGUUGCAUGGCUGUCGUCAGCUCGUGCCGUGAGGUGUACGGUUAAGUCCGCCAACGAGCGCAACCCUCGUCCUGUGUUACCAGCAUGAAAGAUGGGGACUCACAGGAGACCGCCGGUGUAAGCCGGAGGAAGGUGGGGAUGACGUCAAGUCAGCAUGGCAGUUACAUCUGGGGCUUCACACAUGCUACAAUGGGCGAAACAAAGGGCAGCGAUGACGCGAGUCGGAGCCAAUCCCAAAAAUACGUCCUCAGUUCAGAUUGCAGUCUGCAACUCGACUGCAUGAAGUCGGAAUCGCUAGUAAACGCAGGUCAGCUAUACUGCGUUGAAUACGUUCCCGGGUCUUGUACACACCGCCCGU
rnacentral:rRNA from 1 species